rnacentral:snRNA from 1 species
GUGCUCGCUUUGCAGCACAUAUACUAAAAUUGGAAUGUUACAGAGAAGAUUAGCAUUGUCUAAAUGGAUAUUUCAUGAUCUAUCUUGAAGUACAACACUGUCUG